GUUCUAGCCUAAUACAAGACUAUAUGCGAAGGAAUGGUUAUCAAACAUUGUUCAGGAAUAAUGAGGGAUAAUGACCUAGAUAAGAUGGAACUACAACCUGAUGACAUGCUAUUACAGAGCGAGCAUUUCACCUGUAUCCACAAGAUCUGGCUUUCUAGUUCAUUCUUUCACCUCUCUGUAUUUCUUCCCUACUCCCAAGUCUUCUAUUCAUAAAAUGGAGCUAUGACAGGUGGCUUUUCCUGCCUUGUAAGGGUGUGUGAUGUAAUACAGUGCUGCAGUAUGGUCAUGCCCUCUUUUACAGGUCUCAUCAUUUGAAAGGAAGGGUGGUUGGUACUGUUACGGGGGUUCACUCAUGGUCACCUAAUCCUGCUUUUAGCCUGUCUUGCCCUUCAAGACUGGGAAGCUGGAGAGCAAGCCUGGCUGGCCGAUGUUGGGAACCUGCAGUGAUAUUUCUGGCCACCAGGUGUCAGCCUCAGCCUUGUAAUGUAGAGUAUGACCUCUACAGGUUAUAAAUCAGACAAUUUCUACUAAUUCCAGUCCUGGUUCCCAGCAGUGAGCCUGGUUUCUCUGGAUUCCUAGUACCUGUUCAAACAGUUCCUGGCAUCAACACUGGAGGCUAUCACAACCAUCCAUCUUGGCCUUCGUUUCCAGGUUCCUGAUCUGAGCAGCUGCUGCUGAUGUCCUGGCUCUCCACCUUGCAGAUGGCCACUGUGGCAUUGUCCCGAUUCAAGUCAUGGAACCACUACAAGGUGAAGGACCUCCUUUGUCACGUAUCCCUGUUGCCAUGAUAUUAUGCCUUAGCACAUGGAGCCGUGUGACAAUGGAUGGAACCACCCGAAAUCAUGAUCCAGACAAACCCUUCCUUCCUUGGUGCUUUGUCAUGGGCACACAAAAUCUAAUGCAAGCUGUCGAUGAAUGCUCCAAGGUGAUGGAGGAUAGGAGGAGGUCGCGAUAAAGGUCAGGAAGACCUAAUGCUCCAGUUGACCUCGGUCGUAGUGAAAGGAGAGGAAGAAUUAGGGUGGAAGCCAUGGGAGAGCCUAGGAAGAGACCGCGGUGCACACGGGGAGGCAAGUACCAAUGUCUACGUUCAGCUUCCACUCCAACACUGACAGUAUUUGGUUAGUGUGGGUGGAGAGAGGCGGCUGUGUAUGCAUGUGUAUGUGUAAAGUAUGGAAGUGUGUGUGUGUGUGUGUGUGUGUGUGUGUGUGUGUGUGUUCCUGUGU